rnacentral:rRNA from 1 species
UACAGAGGGGGCAAGCGUUAUUCGGAAUCACUGGGCGUAAAGGGUGCGUAGGCGGGUCUUUAAGUCAGGGGUGAAAUCCUGGAGCUCAACUCCAGAACUGCCUUUGAUACUGGAGAGCUUGAGUCCGGGAGAGGUGAGUGGAACUCCGAGUGUAGAGGUGAAAUUCGUAGAUAUUCGGAAGAACACCAGUGGCGAAGGCGGCUCACUGGACCGGUUCUGACGCUGAGGCGCGAAAGCGUGGGGAGCAAACGGG